rnacentral:sRNA from 1 species
AGGCGCUGGGCAGAGGGUGCAGGGGAGGGCACGGCGCCGCUUGCUUGGCCUGCGCACCCGGACCUAGAAGCCGGGACGAGCCGGGGCAGAGCCAGGCGUGCGGAAGUCUGAAGGUGCCCUCCAGACACGGCCCCGAUGACUGAACUACAGCAAGAUGUGGAAGACACAAAGCCUGCGAAAGUGCUCGGGAAGAGGGAGAGCAAACUUGGCUCAGCCCAACAAUCUUGAGGGCCAGCACAGCCUGAGGACUUGCUGACACAAAGUAUUGACGGGCCAGAGGAAGUGGGCAGCCUGGAUAACACAUCACCCCAUGUCUGCUGCUGCUCAGCUACCUCUCUCUGAAUGUCUAAAGUGAAGCGGUUUCCUUUCUUCUUCAGCUCAGAGGCUGAGAAUGGUGUGGAGGAGAAAAAGAAAGCCUGCAGGUCGCCAACAGCCCAAUCCCCUACCCCAUCUGUGGAGGCGGACUCCCCAGACCAGAAGAAAAUCAUUAGCCUAUGGUCAAAAUCCAGUUUUGAUGGUGCCUCUUUAGCAAGUGAUAAGAACGAC